GAGUUUGAUCAUGGCUCAGAUUGAACGCUGGCGGCAUGCCUUACACAUGCAAGUCGAACGGCAGCACGGGAGCUUGCUCCUGGUGGCGAGUGGCGAACGGGUGAGUAAUGCAUCGGAACGUAUCCUGGAGUGGGGGAUAACGUAGCGAAAGUUACGCUAAUACCGCAUAUUCUGUGAGCAGGAAAGCGGGGGACCUUCGGGCCUCGCGCUCUUGGAGCGGCCGAUGUCGGAUUAGCUAGUUGGUGAGGUAAAGGCUCACCAAGGCGACGAUCCGUAGCAGGUCUGAGAGGAUGAUCUGCCACACUGGAACUGAGACACGGUCCAGACUCCUACGGGAGGCAGCGGUGGGAAUUUUGGACAAUGGGGGCAACCCUGAUCCAGCCAUGCCGCGUGAGUGAAGAAGGCCUCGGUGUAA
rnacentral:rRNA from 1 species